GUUGCUAUGGAAAUGAAGAUAACAACAGCUUGGUGCUACCCGUUAUUCCUUUAUUUACUCUAAAAUAAUAACCAGCGAUAAUACGAAAAUAAACUGGCCCAGUGUUUAAUUAUGUAAUUACAAAUUGCAAAUUUAUUUUUAUUUAUUUUAUCUUUUACAAAUUGCAAUAUUUAUCUACAGCGCGCCUUUGGCGACACGUCAACAGAUCUUAAGCAAGGCGAUUGGAUGGUUUUUACUGCAAUGCAUCUUGGGAGUCGUAGUAAAUGUAUCUUUCAACUCACGGUCCUGCAGGAAUUUUCCGACUCGAUACGAGACAGAUCUUAGCUAGACAUGACAAAACCAAAAACCAAACCAUGCCCUUCCUGUCAGGCUCCAAACACCUGCAACAGGAAGACAUGCAGUGGAUGCCUGGGUAGCCUGAACGUAAAGGAGGGAUUGAAAAAAAAACAAGAACAGUUUAAAAACAAUAACUGGGCUGCCUCUGUUAAAAAAAACAGAAAUGCGAGCAGGGUGGUUAAUUCAGCCCAGUUGUCAGUUUCAAAACUACAUGCCCUGGGCUACCAGCCUAUUCUGUUUCUUGGACAGUUUGACCGUAAGGGCCGUAUAGUAGGGGACGUGAUCACUCAGAUCGAACCAGCGGAAGGUGCUGCACGUGACAUCCUCAUGAAGAUGAGGAAGCUUUAUGAACACCUUCUGAGAAAAUUACAAGCUUCACCUCCUGCUGAAAGUUCUACACCAGCAGCUGGACCAUCCUCUGCUGACAAUGUGGAUGCUGGACCAGUCCCAGACCCAGAGGCUCUAAACGAGGAAUUUAUUCUUCAUUUAGAGCCUGUACCAACAUCUUCCCUCUGUCAGCCUCCUGCAUCUUCCUCUCCGUCUCUGCUUCCUCCUGCAUCUUCCUCUCCGUCUCUGCUUCCUCCUGCAUCUUCCUCUCCGUCUCUGCUUCCUCCUGCAUCUUCCUCUCUGUCUCUGCUUCCUCCUGCAUCCUCCUCUCCAUCUCCACAUCCUGCAUCUCCCUCAAUUUCUACGGUGUACACCUCUAAUCUCCCAAUCAAAAAAAGGACAAGGAAAGGUUAGACGUUAUGGUAUUGUAAAUAAUGCCGAAAACACCGUACGCAGAAAAUUUUCAAAUAUGAAGAGAUAGUAGACAGGAGAGUUGUAAAUGAAAAAGAAGAAGUUAAAGUCAAGUGGAAGCCCUGCUUAACAUGGUAUGUAGUAACAACGGGAACAGACAUUCAUAUUGUUGAUAAAUAGUUCUCACCUCAAUUUGAAUUCAUGUAUUUGGACUAAAGUAAAUUGAGAGCUUUUAGCAAUCAAGCUGCUCUUCUGUGAGGAGCUUGAUAGCUGUCCACCUCCAAAGUCCAUUAUGAGUUUUGGAGGUGGACAUGGUCAACACUUUUAAGAGUAGGCAUAAGACUUUACUUCUUUAUAGAGCUUAUAGUUAGGGCUGGUUCAGGUCAGCCUUUAGUUAUGCUGUCAUAGGACCAGACUGCUGGGGUUAGUGUCCCCCCCUCUCUGUCUGUCUCUUUCAGGGUUAUGCAGGCUCAGUAUUGGUUGAAGAUGCAGUCACGUCUCCUUUUACUAAAAACUCUCCCCCUCUCCCUCACCAUCUGUAAACGUACAUGUCUCAGUAAUGCAGUUCAUGCAUGUUACUAACUAAACUUCUUCCCUGGAGUUUCUGUGCUCUCUCAUCCAGCAGGUUCCGAUGGCUCGUGGCUGCUGCUGUGGUCCUGCUUGACAUCUACUCCAUAUAUUAUUACUCUCUGACUUGAUUUGAUUAAUUUAUAUUACAAUGAAGGUGUAUAAAGUAUGACAUGAAUAUAGAAGAUAUUUCAUCCUAAAAAAUUGUCAUAUGUCACAACCUAAAUUAUCCUAUUUUGUGUGUGGUUGUGGUUGUUGUUUGUUAUGUUUUUCUCCUGACAGUGGCAAAGUGUGGGAUGACACAUGGGAACCGGCGCAGUUUUACACACAGUAAACCAGGCACCACAGGUCGCAGAGAUGGCACAGUUCACAGUUUGUAGUUCAGCAUAAAAGUUCAAAAUAAAAUAUUUUCUAUACAUUUCAACCAGU